GGGGAAUCUUGCGCAAUGGGCGAAAGCCUGACGCAGCCAUGCCGCGUGAAUGAUGAAGGUUUUAGGAUUGUAAAAUUCUUUCACCGGGGACGAUAAUGACGGUACCCGGAGAAGAAGCCCCGGCUAACUUCGUGCCAGCAGCCGCGGUAAUACGAAGGGGGCUAGCGUUGCUCGGAAUUACUGGGCGUAAAGGGCGCGUAGGCGGACAUUUAAGUCAGGGGUGAAAUCCCAGAGCUCAACUCUGGAACUGCCUUUGAUACUGGAUGUCUUGAGUGUGAGAGAGGUAUGUGGAACUCCGAGUGUAGAGGUGAAAUUCGUAGAUAUUCGGAAGAACACCAGUGGCGAAGGCGACAUACUGGCUCAUUACUGACGCUGAGGCGCGAAAGCGUGGGGAGCAAAC
rnacentral:rRNA from 1 species